AAUGAACGUUGGCGGCGUGGAUUAGGCAUGCAAGUCGUGCGAGAAGUCUUUUGCUUGCAUUAGACGGAAAGCGGCGAAAGGGAGAGUAACGCGUGGGUACCUACCUCUAGGUUCGGGAUAGCUGCGGGAAACUGUGGGUAAUACCGAAUAACAUCUCCGGAUCAAAGGUGUGAUUCCGCCUGGAGACGGGCCCGCGUCCUAUUAGCUUGUUGGUGGGGUAAUGGCUUACCAAGGCAAUGAGGGCUAUCGGGCGUGAGAGCGUGACCCGACUCACUGGGACUGAGACACUGCCCAGACACCUACGGGUGGCUGCAGUCUAGAAUCUUCGGCAAUGGGCGCAAGCCUGACCGAGCGACGCCGCGUGCGGGAUGAAGGCCCUCGGGUUGUAAACCGCUGUCAGUUGGGAGGAAAUCACAUGGGGUUCUCUCCAUGUGUUGACCUAUCUUCAGAGGAGGGACGGGCUAAGUUCGUGCCAGCAGCCGCCGUAAUAC
rnacentral:rRNA from 1 species